UAGUUAGUUGACAAAUUCUGACAAAAAAUGAUCGACAAACUCCUCACUUUGAGGAACUGGAUCGUCUUCCUCUCCGCUUAUUUCGGAGUGGUUUUCCUGGUAUUCUGCGCCAUAUGUAUCAAGGACAUGUUCACUCUGAUGUUCGAAUGGACUCGAGAUUAUGUGGAUUUGCCGCUUAAAAAUCCCGCAACAGCCAAAACAAAACCCCGCAAUCGACAGCAGGCAUUUGCAUCCGAAAACAAAUUGAAAUAAAUGGCAUUUAUGGUUGGAAAA
rnacentral:lncRNA from 1 species